AAAUGAAUUGACGGGGACCCGCACAAGCAGUGGAGUAUGUGGUUUAAUUCGAAGCAACGCGAAGAACCUUACCAGGGCUUGACAUCCCUAGAAGUCCGUCGAGAGAUGGAUGUGCCUUCGGGAACUAGGUGACAGGUGGUGCAUGGUUGUCGUCAGCUCGUGUCGUGAGAUGUUGGGUUAAGUCCCGCAACGAGCGCAACCCUUAUUGCUAGUUGCUAACAUUAAGUUGAGCACUUUAGUGAGACUGCCGUUGACAAAACGGAGGAAGGUGGGGACGACGUCAAAUCAUCAUGCCCCUUAUGUCCUGGGCUACACACGUACUACAAUGGCGAUUUAACAACGGGUGGCCAAACCGCGAGGUGGAGCUAAUCCCCAAAAAUCGUCCCAGUUCGGAUUGUAGGCUGAAACUCGCCUGCAUGAAGUUGGAAUUGCUAGUAAUCGCGAAUCAGAAUGUCGCGGUGAAUACGUUCCCGGGUCUUGUACACACCGCCCGU
rnacentral:rRNA from 1 species